rnacentral:rRNA from 2 species
UACGGAGGAUGCGAGCGUUAUCCGGAUUUAUUGGGUUUAAAGGGUGCGUAGGCGGCACGCCAAGUCAGCGGUGAAAUUUCCGGGCUCAACCCGGACUGUGCCGUUGAAACUGGCGAGCUAGAGUGCACAAGAGGCAGGCGGAAUGCGUGGUGUAGCGGUGAAAUGCAUAGAUAUCACGCAGAACCCCGAUUGCGAAGGCAGCCUGCUAGGGUGCGACAGACGCUGAGGCACGAAAGCGUGGGUAUCGAACAGG